rnacentral:lncRNA from 1 species
CUGUGCCCUGCCUGUCCCCCACCGCUGUCACUGUGUGCCAGGGCUGGCGGGGAGGCGGAGGCGGAGGCAGGCGGGGGAAGGAUGGAGGGAGGAGCACUCCAGUGAUGCUUCAUGCUCACAGCUCCAGCCCUCCCGAGAGCCCAACCUGGCGAGCCCCUUCCUCUCCCUCCACCGUUCCCGGCUGCCGGUGGUGAAGGAUGCUCGGAGCAUCGCUUGCUGCCGCGACGUGCUGACAGCGGGGACCCCGCCGGGAGCGGGCUGCCGUCCUGCCGGGCCUGAGUCCGUGUCAGCGGGCCAGCAGGGCUCUGCAGAAGCAUGAAGAAGAUUUGGGUGAAGAAGCGUUUCCAGAAGACCGGCCACUCGCGGCGCUUCGGGCGCUUCACGCAUGCGAAGUUUUCCGCUCCUGCAGGAAACAAAGUUACGGUAGGAAGACGCCUUCCCAAUGCCAUCACUGUCCCCAUAGUGGACCCUGUAUCCCAGCCUGCCACCCUGCUCUGUCACUUCCAUUGUCCCCUUGCUCUGCUUUUUUGUCCCCAUGCCACCUCUGCCAUCUGCGUUCCCACUGCUGGCACUGCCUCCCUUCCUCCUGUCAUUUAACACUGUUCCUGCCUGCCCUUGUCCUGCUGGACUUUCCCAUUCCUAGUCCUGCCUUUCCCUACCGGCAGCUUGUCCCUGCAGGUCACAGUCAUGCCUCCUGCCCUGGAGCUGCCUGGGCACUGCUCUCGUGCUCCAGGAGCCAAUGGGUCUGUGAAAGACAGUACCAGUGUGGUCUGCUAUCUCUCUGUACCCUCACCUCCUACUCUCCCCUCCCACGCCAGACUCGGAGACAGGUGAGGAUGAAUCCAGCGACCCCCAGGUGACACAGCGCAGCGAUCUUCAGGAUGAGACGGCCUUCAGCACCCCCACGGGUGGGUCUG